CUUCGUUUCUGCGGAUGCGAGUCCACCCAUCGCCUUUGUCCUCCUCAAUCACGCUCAGCGUUUCUCCUUCAACUACGGAAAUGGUGCCUUCGUUCUGACCUGGAAGAGUAAAGUGAGGUGUGAGGUCUCAGGCAGCGCUGGGAGGGACCUGGCAAUGGCGUAUUAGAGUCAAGGUUCUUCCUACCGUCUGUGGACCCUUCCUCAGGGGACAAUGGUGUGCCUGGCGGCAGCUUAAACAAUAUCAGCAGCUCCUUAGUGCCAGCUAAGUAAAAGCAGACACCUCUUUUUCUCACCCAGG